rnacentral:rRNA from 1 species
GACGAACGCUGGCGGCGUGCCUAAUACAUGCAAGUCGAACGCAGUGGGGACGGGUGAGUAACACGUGGGUAACCUCCCAUCAGAGGGGAUAACACUUGGAAACCGGUGCUAAACCGAUACUGAUGGAUGGAACCGCGGUGCAUUAGCUAGUUGGUGAGGUAACGGCUCACCAAGGCCCCGAUGCAUAGCCGGGCGGAGAGGGUGAUCGGCCGCACUGGAACUGAGACACGUGCCAGACUCCUACGGGAGGCAGCAGUAGUGAAUCUUCGGCAAUGGACGAAAGUCUGACCGAGCAAUGCCGCGUGAGUGAAGAAGGUUUUCGGGUCGUAAAACUCUGUUGUUAGGGAAGCGGUAUCUAACCAGAAAGCCAAGGCUAACUACGUGCCAGCAGCCGCGGUAAUUC